GGCUCGGUGGUGGAUGGUCUACGCCUGCAAAAAAUGACGCUAGAUCAAUAAUGCUUUCGCAGGAGGAGCGUGUUCAAAUCACGCCCGGGCCA